AUCACGCUACUAAUUAAAUUACUUUAAUUAAAAUUGGAUUAAAAUAUACCCCUCUACAAAAUCCUUGGGUGACGCCCGCGAAGAUCCCACAACGAUUUUUCGGUGCACAGGCGCGCCAAUAGAAAGAAAAUCGAUGAUUGUCGAUUUCUAGUUUAGUUGGUCACGAACUCACAAAGAGGCAACACAUCGUCAUUACUUAGGUGACGGAGUUUGGGCAAAAUUGGGAAAAUAUAUAACUAAAAGACCUCGAACAUCAGCCAAUAACCCAUACUAAUAAUAAUCAAGCAGUAGUUAUAUCUGGAGACUUAUUUACAAGAAAGGAAAAAGGUUAUAAUACCGCCGAUGUGUUGCUUUGCUCAAAUUCCGUCCCGUAGCUACUUGUCACAUAGACACUUAGCCUAGUCAAUUUAUAUAGAUUGUAUCAUCAUUUAAUGUGCCAUCAUAUAAAUAUGUGCCAGUUACUGUAAGCAGCUAGGGCAUGGGUUACCCCUAGAGUUACUUUUGAUUGGAUUGGAUAGUACCUAUUUCACAACAUCCAGGAUUGGAUUUAUCACCACAGCAGCCCACUAGUUUUUGCCGUGCCAAGAGGAAAUUCAUUCCUAUCUGGACCUUUUUAAAUAGGACUUGUGGUUAAGAUAAGUUGUUUAAUCUUAUUAUUUACAUAUUUUGGGUACUCUAUAGUUGCUUGCACUGUAAACUUCUUGUAUGCAUACAAUUGAGGUAAACUAGGUACAUAUUUCUUGAUAGAUAGGGUUUUAGGUCGUUGCUUUUUUUUUUUUGAUUUAAUAUAAGUAGUAGUUUCCAAUAAAUAAAAUUAGGUCUUGUUCAAUAAUCAUUAUAAAUAAUAAUUGUAGCUUAAAAAUUUGAUAGGGAAGGGGUCGUUAAAGGUUUGUCGCGGAUUUCAAAUAGGGAAUAUGUCUUGUAGGUUUUUACAUUGUAUAUAAAGAGUAACUGACCAACUCAUUUAUACAACUCAUUUAUAUCACUCAUUUAUAUAACUCAUUUAUAUAACUCAUUAUAUAUUUAUUUAUUAGUGUUUUUGCUAGGUGAGAUCUUUAUUAUUUUUGGUAAUCGUAGCGUUCUUGUUGUGGAUCUCACUCUAGCGUAGUUCAAUUUAGGAAAUAAUUACUAACUUUUUAGUUGUAAGGACUUAGUGCUAUUCUGACGGACUUUUGCUUUGGAUUUUGAUUUUAAUACCUUUGCUUGGCCAGUGAUAGUGGAUAAUUGCUUGUUAAGUGGCCUUUGCGGUCCUAUUUGAUCUUUUCCCCAUCCACUAUCACUGUUAUUACGUUGCGUUAUAUGUAAAGUGUUAACAUUUAAUAUUUAUUAUUAAUAUAUUUGUAUGUAUUAA